rnacentral:rRNA from 1 species
AUUGAACGCUGGCGGCAUGCCUUACACAUGCAAGUCGAACGGUAACAGGUCUUCGGAUGCUGACGAGUGGCGAACGGGUGAGUAAUACAUCGGAACGUGCCUAGUAGUGGGGGAUAACUACUCGAAAGAGUGGCUAAUACCGCAUGAGAUCUACGGAUGAAAGCAGGGGAUCGCAAGACCUUGUGCUACUAGAGCGGCCGAUGGCAGAUUAGGUAGUUGGUGGGAUAAAAGCUUACCAAGCCGACGAUCUGUAGCUGGUCUGAGAGGACGAUCGGCCACACUGGGACGGGGACACGGCCCAGACUCCCACGGGAGGCAGCAGUGGGGAAUUUUGGACAAUGGGCGAAAGCCUGAUCCAGCAAUGCCGCGUGCAGGAUGAAGGCCUUCGGGUUGUAAACUGCUUUUGUACGGAACGAAAAGCCCCGGGUUAAUACCCUGGGGUCAUGACGGUACCGUAAGAAUAAGCACCGGCUAACUACGUGCCAGCCGCCGCAGUAA